rfam:Triticum aestivum genome assembly, contig: Triticum_aestivum_CS42_TGACv1_scaffold_543379_6DS
AAAGCUAUAAAACAAGUGGCUAAGAUCAAGUCUAGUAUCCGUUCUUAUCAAUUAAAUAUCUGAUAUGUGGGUCAUAUGCCCAUAACGGUAUUAUAUUUGUUUUUUUUGAAAAUGUUUCAUCACAAUGGCUUGCCGUUGGGGCGCUUGCGUGUCACCUAAGUGUUGCACUAUUCCCUAGGCUUGGCGCGCCCCAA